rnacentral:pre_miRNA from 1 species
AGAGCAAUUGCUAGGUAGUAUGGUUGUUGGAUAUCAAUUUUCUAAGAAAUUGUCAAGAUGUUUUCUAGAGUGGCUAUACUAUUUUUCAUUCAUACCAGCCAC